GCUUACGGCCAUACCACCCUGAGAACGCCCGAUCUUGUCUGAUCUCGGAAGUUAAGUAGGGUCGGGCCUGGUUAGUACUUGGAUGGGAGACCGCCCGGGAAUGCCAGGUGCUGUAAGCU
rnacentral:rRNA from 1 species